rnacentral:ribozyme from 1 species
GUACUUUUUUUUUUUUUUUUUUUUUUUUUUUUUUUUUUUUUUUUUUUUUUUUUUUUCCGCGCUCGCUGCAUCU